rnacentral:rRNA from 1 species
AACGAACGCUGGCGGCAGGCUUAACACAUGCAAGUCGAACGCGUGCGGCAAUGCACGAGUGGCGCACGGGUGAGUAACGCGUGGAUAUCUGCCUUUUGGUUCGGAAUAACCCCGGGAAACUGGGGCUAAUACCGGAUGGUUCCUUCGGGAUAAAGAUUUAACGCCAAAAGAUGAGUCCGCGUACGAUUAGCUAGUUGGUGAGGUAAUGGCUCACCAAGGCGACGAUCGUUAGUUGGUCUGAGAGGACGAUCAGCCACACUGGGACUGAGACACGGCCCAGACUACUACGGGAGGCAGCAGUGGGGAAUAUUGGACAAUGGGGGCAACCCUGAUCCAGCCAUGCCGCGUGAGUGAUGAAGGCCUUCGGGUUGUAAAGCUCUUUUGGCGGGGACGAUGAUGACGGUACCCGCAGAAUAAGCCCCGGCUAACUUCGUGCCAGCCGCCGCGGUAA